rnacentral:rRNA from 1 species
CAGCCCAGAUCUACGACUAAGGUCCCAAAGUUCAAGUUAAGUGGAAAAGGAUGUGCAAUUGCGUAGACAACCAGGAUGUUGGCUUAGUAGCAGCCAUUCAUUCAAAGAGUGCGUAAUAGCUCACUGGUCGAGUGAUUGUGCGCCGAAAAUGUAACGGGGCUAAACUUGACACCGAAGUCUAGGCAGAAGGAAACUUCUGGGUAGGGGAGCAACGUGUACGGGCAGAAGCAGAAGCGGAAGCGACUGUGGACUGUACAGGAGAGAGAAUGCCGGCAUGAGUAGCGAGAGCAAAGUGAGAAUCUUUGCCGUCGAAAGCCUAAGGUUUCCUGAGGAAGGCUCGUCCUCUCAGGGUAAGUCGGGACCUAAGCCGAGGACAAUAGUCGUAGGCGAUGGACAAUCGGUUAAUAUUCCGAUACCGCCGAGCAACCGGAUGCAGUGACACAGAAGGAUAGGCAGAGCGUGGCGAUGGUAGACCACGUCCAAGCAGUGAGGCUGUUGUGUAGUGAAGUACGCACAACGGAAGGCUGGGCUGUGAUGGGGAACGAUUACGAUCGGUAAGCUGCUGAAUUCACGCUGGCGAGAAAAGCUGCUACGAAGCGAAGGCGCCCGUACCGCAAACCGACACAGGUAGGCGAGGAGAGAAUCCUAAGACGAGCGGGAGAACCCUUGUUAAGGAACUCGGCAAAAUGACUCCGUAACUUAGGGAGAAGGAGUGCCCAGGAAUGGGCCGCAGAGAAUAGACCCAAGCGACUGUUUACCAAAAACACAGGUCUGUGCGAAGUAGAGAUACGACGUAUACGGGCUGACGCCUGCCCAGUGCCGGAAGGUUAAGGGGAAGUGUUAGGGCAACCGAAGCACGGAACUUAAGCCCCGGUGAACGGCGGCCGUAACUAUAACGGUCCUAAGGUAGCGAAAUUCCUUGUCGGGUAAGUUCCGACCCGCACGAAUGGCGUAACGACUUGGGCACUGUCUCAACAUGGGACCCGGCGAAAUUGUAGUAUGUGUGAAGAUGCACAUUACCCGCGAUAGGACGGAAAGACCCCGUAGAGCUUUACUGUAGUUUAACAUUGGAUUUCGGUAACAUAUGUACAGGAUAGGUGGGAGGCGAAGAACCAGGGACGCCAGUUUCUGGGGAGCCGACCUUGGGAUACCACUCUUGUGUUAUUGGAGUUCUAACGAAUUGCCGUGACCCGGGAUUCGGACAGUGUUAGAUGGGCAGUUUGACUGGGGCGGUCGCCUCC